GCCAGGCAUGGUGGCGCAUGCCUGUAAUCCCAGCUACUCAGGAGGCUGAGGCAGGAGAAUCGCUUGAACCCGGGAGGUGGAGGUUGCAGUGAGCCGAGAUCGCGCCACUGCACUGUAGCUUGGGUGACAGAGUGAGACCCUGUCUCAC
rnacentral:SRP_RNA from 2 species